UACGAAGGGGGCUAGCGUUGCUCGGAAUUACUGGGCGUAAAGGGUGCGUAGGCGGGUCUUUUAAGUCAGAGGUGAAAUCCUGGAGCUCAACUCCAGAACUGCCUUUGAUACUGAGGAUCUUGAGUUCGGGAGAGGUGAGUGGAACUGCGAGUGUAGAGGCGAAAUUCGUAGAUAUUCGCAAGAACACCAGUGGCGAAGGCGGCUCACUGGCCCGAUACUGACGCUGAGGCACGAAAGCGUGGGGAGCAAACAGGG
rnacentral:rRNA from 1 species